UACGAAGGGGGCUAGCGUUGCUCGGAAUUACUGGGCGUAAAGCGCACGUAGGCGGCUUUCUAAGUCGGGGGUGAAAUCCUGGAGCUCAACUCCAGAACUGCCUUCGAUACUGGAGAGCUCGAGUCCGGGAGAGGUGAGUGGAACUGCGAGUGUAGAGGUGAAAUGCGUAGAUAUCCGGAGGAACACCGGUGGCGAAGGCGGCUUCCUGGACCGACACUGACGUUGAGGCGCGAAAGCUAGGGGAGCAAACGGG
rnacentral:rRNA from 1 species